rnacentral:tRNA from 2 species
UCCACCGUAGCAUAAAAGUGCAAUGCUUUCGGUUUUUACCCGAAAUGAUAUAGGUUCGAAUCCUAUCGGUGGGA